rnacentral:misc_RNA from 1 species
UCUCCGUAGGUGAACCUGCGGAGGGAUCAUUACAGAGUUCAUGCCCUACCGGGUAGAUCUCCCACCCUAUGUUAUUAUUACUUUGUUGCUUUGGCGGGCCGUUAGGCUCCGGCCCGACUACCGGCCCCGGCUGGUAAGCGCCCGCCAGAGGACCCAAAACCCUGAAUAUUAGUGUCGUCUGAGUACCAUAUAAUAGUUAAAACUUUCAACAACGGAUCUCUUGGUUCUG